rnacentral:rRNA from 1 species
GAUGAACGCUGGCGGCGUGCCUAAUACAUGCAAGUCGAGCGAACGGACGAGAAGCUUGCUUCUCUGAUGUUAGCGGCGGACGGGUGAGUAACACGUGGAUAACCUACCUAUAAGACUGGGAUAACUUCGGGAAACCGGAGCUAAUACCGGAUAAUAUUUUGAACCUCAUGGUUCAAAAGUGAAAGACGGUCUUGCUGUCACUUAUAGAUGGAUCCGCGCUGCAUUAGCUAGUUGGUAAGGUAACGGCUUACCAAGGCAACGAUGCAUAGCCGACCUGAAAGGGUGAUCGGCAACACUGGAACUGAGACACGGUCCAGACUCCUACGGGAGGCAGCAGUAGGGAACCUUCCGCAAUGGGCGAAAGCCUGACGGAGCAACGCCGCGUGAGUGAUGAAGGUCUUCGCAUCGUAAAACUCUGUUAUUAGGGAAGAACAUAUGUGUAAGUAACUGUGCACAUCUUGACGGUACCUAAUCAGAAAGCCACGGCUAACUACGU